GACGAACGCUGGCGGCGUGCUUAACACAUGCAAGUCGAACGGAAAGGCCCUGCUUUUGUGGGGUGCUCGAGUGGCGAACGGGUGAGUAACACGUGAGUAACCUGCCCUUGACUUUGGGAUAACUUCAGGAAACUGGGGCUAAUACCGGAUAGGAGCUCCUGCUGCAUGGGGGGGGUUGGAAAGUUUCGGCGGUUGGGGAUGGACUCGCGGCUUAUCAGCUUGUUGGUGGGGUAGUGGCUUACCAAGGCUUUGACGGGUAGCCGGCCUGAGAGGGUGACCGGCCACCUUGGGACUGAGAUACGGCCCAGACUCCUACGGGAGGCAGCAGUGGGGAAUAUUGCACAAUGGGCGGAAGCCUGAUGCAGCAACGCCGCGUGCGUGAUGACGGCCUUCGGGUUGUAAACCGCUUUCGCCUGUGACGAAGCGUGAGUGACGGUAAUGGGUAAAGAAGCACCGGCUAACUACGUG
rnacentral:rRNA from 1 species